rnacentral:lncRNA from 1 species
AAGCUUUUAACAAAUGAUACCCCACGCCCUGCUAUAUAUGAAAUAUCUAUAACAAAUAAUACUUGGAGGAAUAUAUUUUCAUUCUGAUUUUUUCAAUCAUUUUCUUUCUCAAACUGAGAAUUUUGAAAGCUCAACACUGGUUGUUUAGAAACUUCACCUGUGUCUGUGUGGGUGUUCUCAGAUCUUCUCAUAGAGUGAGGUUUUGUGUGAUGUGAUUUUAUUGAGACUGAUUGUGACAUUACCUAAACCUUAUAUUGCUGCCUUAUAUGCAGUAGUUUCAUAUUUUUGGUGUGUUCUGAGUUGUAUGUAAAACAAGAUUUAAUACUGAUUUUUUGUGGGGAGUUAAGGAUAGUUAGGGAGAAAAACAAUUACUGGUACUAGUUGGUUUGUUCAGUGAUAUUUUUGGUUAUGAAGUAAGUUGUUUGAGUUGUUUAGCAGGAAAAAGUGAAUGCUAAUUUUUACGGUCUUCAGAGUAACAUGAAGACUCGGCACCAAUGGGCAUCGAUCAUUCUGCUAGAGAAAGUUGACAUGAUGGCCGCAAGCUUGAUUAAAUAAACAAUUAUACAUUGAUAAAUGUGUUAUUAAUUCAUACUUUACUUCUAACAAAAAAAAUAUUUAAAAAAAAGAAUACCUACGUACCUACCCUAAAUUUUAAAGAGGUGUAAUCGGAACAUCUUUUUUAUUUGGCCUGAGAUUCAAAAGAGUGCAUUUGCUCAAUUAUUGUCUUUUGAAGUUAAAUCAUUUUAGUUUUCUAAUCCAAUAUAGUUCUAAUCUGAAAUAGUGAGGACUGAAAAAUAAUAAAAUCUAACCACACCUAUUUAUAUUUCUUUUGGUGUACAUCAGCCAAAUUCAUAUGGUCAGUAAAAUCUGGAAAAGAGAAAAAUGUAACGGUAUUGCUACAUGAUGCUGUAACAUAUAUUGUGCUUUAGACGACACGUGAUUUGAUACUCAACAGAUUGUAAACCAGGUCCAGAGCUCUGGCCUGAUGAUACCUUAGUCAGCUAUUAUAAUAAAUACUUCGGGUAACCAUGGUAACACAAAAUGUACAAUUGUGGAAGAUUGGAUGUACAGAUCACUUAGGAUGUUGUCCAGAACAACAGUGAUAGUGAAAUGGGUUGGAAUGGGCUGUUGUUUAGACAGAGAGGAAGAGAUUAACCUUCAUAAUGUAAAAUAGGAUUUGAUGAUAGGAUGCAAGUUAACAACACAGUAUAAGCUCAGGCAGGUAACCUUGCUUGAUUGUUCAAACCCAGCUUCUGACUGAGAGAUUCAGGAAAUAUUAAAAAUUUAUAUGCAGCAUUACCAAGGACUUGGAGUGAAAUAAUGAGACAGGAUUUUUCCACUGUCACACAUUUCCAUUCCCCCAUGUCUGGUUGUAGAGAAAACAGUACACUAACAUCUACUCUCCGAAAUGAACAUAUUUUACAGAAAAAACUGUUCAUAGAAAAUAAUCAAAGUAUUAUGUACAGGAGCAAAAAAAAAACUUUCUUCAUUUCAAAGAUCUAGACUUGCAUGGGCUUUCUUGGAUAUAUUUGUGUCAGGGUCUGUAUGACAGACAUGUUUGUUCAAAGACUGGUAGUAGGCGAUCUUGUAACACGCCGUUAAGAGUUACUUCCCUUGUAUGUCAAUUCACUUUUUGAUUCCUACUUGAAAUAGAAGAAGUAAAAUGACUUAAGUACAUCUUAGAUGCAUUCACUAAUUUAAUUAGUAAAUUUUAAUCAGCAGAUAUAUAAACAUAAUGUUUAGGAAUUUAUAUUAUUUAAGAGCCUUGAUCAAAUACUGCACUGGAAAGGUUGGUAAUACAUAGUGGUGUGUACUAUGACUUACCAGAUAGACUGUGGAAGAGUGACAUUUUUAGUACUGUGGAUACCAAGUUCUAUCACAUGCAGAUCUCUAAAAUAGAUCCAGUAUUUUCUUAAAAAUGAUUUCAGUGUGUUAUUUUUUCCACAUUAAUGUUGGUAACAUAUUUCGUAUCACAGUCCAUAGUGACAUUUUCCAUGUAUUUAAGACGUCAUUCUUGUAGGGUAGUUAUGAAUAUUUUCUAUGAAAUGGUCUCCCAUCUUAAGUGAAAUUAAAUGUUAUCUCCCUUGUAUGGUGGUCGUCAUGGUGAUGUGCAUUAAUGUUCUAAUAUAUAUUUACAAACCUACAUUCUGGUUAGUCGUGUGGUCGAAUGAGUAAUGCUGACCUGUUUAUAAUGAAGAAUAAGUGAAAUUAUGACCAUACAUUAAUGAAUUUGUGGGAGUAAUUUUGGAAUGGUGUUUGUGGUUCUGCCUUUGGCACUGUUAGAUUUUCAUCAGAUUUCAAUUUAUUGAUGUGUUAUCAUGUUAUAAUUGUUGAAGUUUAAUGUGAUAUAUUAAUAUAUUUCCCAAACUUGUCAAUAUUUCCUGUAUGUCCUGUGAUACACUAAAUAAAACAUUUUAAUGCCU